AGGCCUCCAAUCUUUUUAUUGUUGUUAUUUGUUUAAUGAAUGGAAUUGCAUUAGUAUACAAUCAAAAAUACACUUACAGUGCAGUGGUAACCUGGAGGUUCCCUGCUGGCAGAAUGGUGAUACCGCUGGCUUGGAGGACAAGAGGGAUUCUUUCUCCCUGCGGUGACUGGGAAGAUCAGGAUGGCACAAGCAUGGCCCUCUGGGGUCACCAGGGUGAAAAGCCACUGGCAAUGGACUUGAGGGCGCCAUCCAUCCAUUGGUCCAUUCACAGUAACUUUCUGAGCUCUGCGUGUGGGUCUCCGUCUCGGAAGAUGCUGGGCUGUGGAAGAAUGGGUAACGGGACUUCAGUCACAGCCAUGGUUGGAGGGGGCAGCGUCCAUCCUGCUAAGAGAGAAGCAAAUGGACACAAAGAGCCGAAGACCCACUUGGUGUGUGUGGGGGGGUGCCCCGCAGCAGGGUAGGAAGCCCUGUAGGGCAGGGCCCCUGGCAAGGCAGCAGCCUGGGCAGGGGAGUGGGAACAGCAGGGGAGGCUUAAAGGUAUGUACAGCACCUAGCAACACAGAGACUUUUAAAGAACAAAUAGAACGGUGAGGGCUUCUGCUAGAAUCCGGUCUCCUAAUUCUUCCUACUCUCUUCCUUCCUCCUUGACUUGUAUUGUUCCCACUUCCCUUCAGCUCGGAUUGCUGUGCUGAAGGAAGCGCUCCCCUCACUUUGCUCACACAAUGAGGCCUGGUCAAAACCCACUAAAGACACCACCAAGGCAGAGGAGGAGCCCUCUGCCACCCGGAGGGAACCGCUAAACUCUCUGCGUCUGAGGAAAUCUCGCAAAGACGACAGGGACAGACUGCUUCCUCCUCGCUGAGGGAAAUUGGUGACGUUUCCUCUACGACAAAGAUCAUUAGAGGUGGCACAACUUUGAAAAAUUCCGGAAAAUUGAUCAAAUAAAGGAAAGAAACCCCGCU
rnacentral:lncRNA from 1 species